GGAAUCUUCCACAAUGGACGCAAGUCUGAUGGAGCAACGCCGCGUGAGUGAAGAAGGGUUUCGGCUCGUAAAGCUCUGUUGUUAAAGAAGAACGUAGGUAAGAGUAACUGUUUACCCAGUGACGGUAUUUAACCAGAAAGCCACGGCUAACUACGUGCCAG
rnacentral:rRNA from 1 species